rnacentral:rRNA from 1 species
UACGGAGGGUGCGAGCGUUGUCCGGAAUCACUGGGCGUAAAGGGCGCGUAGGCGGCACUGUUAGUCAGGCGUGAAAUUCCUGGGCUCAACCUGGGGACUGCGCUUGAUACGGCAGAGCUUGAGGAUGGAAGAGGGUCGCGGAAUUCCCAGUGUAGAGGUGAAAUUCGUAGAUAUUGGGAAGAACACCGGUGGCGAAGGCGGCGACCUGGUCCAUUACUGACGCUGAGGCGCGACAGCGUGGGGAGCAAACAGG